AGCGUACACGGUGGAUGCCCUGGCAGUCAGAGGCGAUGAAGGACGUGCUAAUCUGCGAUAAGCGUCGGUAAGGUGAUAUGAACCGUUAUAACCGGCGAUUUCCGAAUGGGGAAACCCAGUGUGAUUCGUCACACUAUCAUUAACUGAAUCCAUAGGUUAAUGAGGCGAACCGGGGGAACUGAAACAUCUAAGUACCCCGAGGAAAAGAAAUCAACCGAGAUUCCCCCAGUAGCGGCGAGCGAACGGGGAGCAGCCCAGAGCCUGAAUCAGUGUGUGUGUUAGUGGAAGCGUCUGGAAAGGCGCGCGAUACAGGGUGACAGCCCCGUACACAAAAAUGCACAUACUGUGAGCUCGAUGAGUAGGGCGGGACACGUGGUAUCCUGUCUGAAUAUGGGGGGACCAUCCUCCAAGGCUAAAUACUCCUGACUGACCGAUAGUGAACCAGUACCGUGAGGGAAAGGCGAAAAGAACCCCGGCGAGGGGAGUGAAAAAGAACCUGAAACCGUGUACGUACAAGCAGUGGGAGCCUCUUAAUGGGGUGACUGCGUACCUUUUGUAUAAUGGGUCAGCGACUUAUAUUCUGUAGCAAGGUUAACCGAAUAGGGGAGCCGAAGGGAAACCGAGUCUUAACUGGGCGUUAAGUUGCAGGGUAUAGACCCGAAACCCGGUGAUCUAGCCAUGGGCAGGUUGAAGGUUGGGUAACACUAACUGGAGGACCGAACCGACUAAUGUUGAAAAAUUAGCGGAUGACUUGUGGCUGGGGGUGAAAGGCCAAUCAAACCGGGAGAUAGCUGGUUCUCCCCGAAAGCUAUUUAGGUAGCGCCUCGUGAAUUCAUCUCCGGGGGUAGAGCACUGUUUCGGCAAGGGGGUCAUCCCGACUUACCAACCCGAUGCAAACUGCGAAUACCGGAGAAUGUUAUCACGGGAGACACACGGCGGGUGCUAACGUCCGUCGUGAAGAGGGAAACAACCCAGACCGCCAGCUAAGGUCCCAAAGUCAUGGUUAAGUGGGAAACGAUGUGGGAAGGCCCAGACAGCCAGGAUGUUGGCUUAGAAGCAGCCAUCAUUUAAAGAAAGCGUAAUAGCUCACUGGUCGAGUCGGCCUGCGCGGAAGAUGUAACGGGGCUAAACCAUGCACCGAAGCUGCGGCAGCGACGCUUAUGCGUUGUUGGGUAGGGGAGCGUUCUGUAAGCCUGCGAAGGUGUACUGUGAGGUAUGCUGGAGGUAUCAGAAGUGCGAAUGCUGACAUAAGUAACGAUAAAGCGGGUGAAAAGCCCGCUCGCCGGAAGACCAAGGGUUCCUGUCCAACGUUAAUCGGGGCAGGGUGAGUCGACCCCUAAGGCGAGGCCGAAAGGCGUAGUCGAUGGGAAACAGGUUAAUAUUCCUGUACUUGGUGUUACUGCGAAGGGGGGACGGAGAAGGCUAUGUUGGCCGGGCGACGGUUGUCCCGGUUUAAGCGUGUAGGCUGGUUUUCCAGGCAAAUCCGGAAAAUCAAGGCUGAGGCGUGAUGACGAGGCACUACGGUGCUGAAGCAACAAAUGCCCUGCUUCCAGGAAAAGCCUCUAAGCAUCAGGUAACAUCAAAUCGUACCCCAAACCGACACAGGUGGUCAGGUAGAGAAUACCAAGGCGCUUGAGAGAACUCGGGUGAAGGAACUAGGCAAAAUGGUGCCGUAACUUCGGGAGAAGGCACGCUGAUACGUAGGUGAAGCGACUUGCUCGUGGAGCUGAAAUCAGUCGAAGAUACCAGCUGGCUGCAACUGUUUAUUAAAAACACAGCACUGUGCAAACACGAAAGUGGACGUAUACGGUGUGACGCCUGCCCGGUGCCGGAAGGUUAAUUGAUGGGGUUAGCGGUAACGCGAAGCUCUUGAUCGAAGCCCCGGUAAACGGCGGCCGUAACUAUAACGGUCCUAAGGUAGCGAAAUUCCUUGUCGGGUAAGUUCCGACCUGCACGAAUGGCGUAAUGAUGGCCAGGCUGUCUCCACCCGAGACUCAGUGAAAUUGAACUCGCUGUGAAGAUGCAGUGUACCCGCGGCAAGACGGAAAGACCCCGUGAACCUUUACUAUAGCUUGACACUGAACAUUGAGCCUUGAUGUGUAGGAUAGGUGGGAGGCUUUGAAGUGUGGACGCCAGUCUGCAUGGAGCCGACCUUGAAAUACCACCCUUUAAUGUUUGAUGUUCUAACGUUGGCCCCUAAUCGGGGUUGCGGACAGUGUCUGGUGGGUAGUUUGACUGGGGCGGUCUCCUCCUAAAGAGUAACGGAGGAGCACGAAGGUUGGCUAAUCCUGGUCGGACAUCAGGAGGUUAGUGCAAUGGCAUAAGCCAGCUUGACUGCGAGCGUGACGGCGCGAGCAGGUGCGAAAGCAGGUCAUAGUGAUCCGGUGGUUCUGAAUGGAAGGGCCAUCGCUCAACGGAUAAAAGGUACUCCGGGGAUAACAGGCUGAUACCGCCCAAGAGUUCAUAUCGACGGCGGUGUUUGGCACCUCGAUGUCGGCUCAUCACAUCCUGGGGCUGAAGUAGGUCCCAAGGGUAUGGCUGUUCGCCAUUUAAAGUGGUACGCGAGCUGGGUUUAGAACGUCGUGAGACAGUUCGGUCCCUAUCUGCCGUGGGCGCUGGAGAACUGAGGGGGGCUGCUCCUAGUACGAGAGGACCGGAGUGGACGCAUCACUGGUGUUCGGGUUGUCAUGCCAAUGGCACUGCCCGGUAGCUAAAUGCGGAAGAGAUAAGUGCUGAAAGCAUCUAAGCACGAAACUUGCCCCGAGAUGAGUUCUCCCUGACUCCUUGA
rnacentral:rRNA from 1 species